rnacentral:tRNA from 1 species
GUUACAGUGGCCGAGUGGUUAAGGCGACGCCCUGCUAUUAGCAGCUUAGGCGUUGGGUUUUACCUGCGCAGGUUCGAAUCCUGUCUGUGACG